rnacentral:piRNA from 1 species
UCCGUUAGCCUGGAGAUAGUCUGGCGUG